CAGACUCCCAAAGUGCUGGGAUUACAGACCUGAGCCACCGUGCCCAGCCUUAUUACUGUUAUUAUUAAUUAUUGUUACCCUGGCUAUCCCUGGUAUCCUUUGCCAUUUUUACUUGCUGGGAACAGGGAAAAGAGGAACCUGGGCUUAUUAAAGACUGAGUCAAGGCCCAAGGCUUAUCCUGGAGCAAAAUGCAAAAUUUAGUGCCCGCGGAUUUUCUGUAUCUGUUUUGGCCCCCCAGAGACCCAUUUUUCAUUGUUUCUUGUCCACUGCCAUGUACUUAGCAGUUGAAACUUCAUUAGAUAAUAUUGGAGGGAAUAACCAGCAGGAAACAAUAUAGCCACUUUGGAAAUACUGAGUAUGUAAUGAAUAUUCAUAACACAGUAUUAAUCCUUAGGACUUUUCUUUUUCUUUUUUUUUUUUUUUGAGACAGAGUUUUGCUCUUGUCUCCCAGGCUGGAGUGCAACGGCGAGAUCUCGGCUCACUGCAACUUCCGCCUCCGGGGUUCAAGCGAUUCUCCUGCCUCAGCCUCCCGAGUAGCUGGGAUUACAGGCGUCUGCCACCACGCCCGGCUAAUUUUUGUGUUAUUAGUAGAGAUGGGGUUUCACCAUGUUGGCCAGGCUGGUCUCGAACUCCUGACCUCAGGUCAUCCGUCCACCUCAGCCUCCCAAAGUGCUGGGAUUAUAGGCAUGAGCCACCGUGCCCAGCUUAAUCUUUAGGUUUUAUAACAUCUGAGCAAACCAGAAGUAUUUUUCACAAAAUGAAAUCCUUAAGAGGAUUUCCUGGGAACAAUUAUUAAAAUUUUCUGAAAGGGAAAGUUUUUACAAAGGAUAUAAGUCAUUAUGACUAUGUGGAUAAGAUAUAAAAUUCAGCAUAUAUCAAGAAAAAUUGUACCUAUAAACUUACCAAUUUUUAAAAACAUGGAAGACUAUUAAAUGAGCUAAGAAGUGAGAUUAAGGUUAUAUAAAAAGAGGCAUUUAUUUCACAAUAAAGUUGAGACUGAGAAAAAUUUUAGUGUAUCAGGGUAUGUUAUGUUUUUGCUAUGAUAAAUGGAUAUUAUCUUUGAAAAAGCAGACUUUCUUAAUCAAGUGGCUGAAUACAUUGUUCUACUCCACAUAGCCAGCAGGGGGCAGAAAUAAUCUAAAGCACAGAAUUUUGAUUUUCCACUCCCAGAGGCUCUUAGAAGUUCCCGUCCUUGAAGGCUUUGAACCUGCUCAAUUGAAAAGACUUAUUUCCUCACUGCUGUGUUCAUGGAUGUUAAUUUUGCCUAAUUUCAAUCUAAUUUGUCCCUGCUUGGGUUGAUGAUCUAAAAUUCAUUUAGCACCCAUGCAGUUUUUAUUUGUGACAAAGAGCCACCUCCUGAUUUUCACUGCUUUUCAUUAUGAUACAGGAGAAAGACUAAGGAAAAAUAAAUGUGCUCCAAUUUCACGGAAUUCCAAAGGAUAAUGGAAAUGUCAUAAGCAUUCAAAAUAACCACUUUGUGUAACUUCUCCGGUGGCAGGCAUCUUUCACCCUGAAGUCACGGGAACAACGCUGAGGGGCAGCCAGAGAUUAUGUGGGCUUUUCCAUGGGAAGAACCACUCUACGUUAUCACCUUCUACAUAAAUGUACCAGAAGAGACAUUGUGUCAGUUUAGCCUUUCAAGAGAAGCUGGAAGCCAGAAACCGGAACCCUCCACAAUGUAAGAAGACUAGGCUGAUUACCUUAGAGCACCAUGAUAUGAGGAGGCCCAAGCUAGCCAUGUGGUGAGACCAUGUGGCAACAUGCUCAACCAGGUCUCAGAUGCUCCAGCCAUCUCAGCUGAGACCACGUUGAGUGAAAGGGCCAUCUGAGAUAUUUCAAUCCAAGCUCACAUCAUGAAGAGCAGAUCUGGCCAGCUAAACCCAGUCAAGAGUGCAGAAUUGUGAGAAACAAUGCACUCUCAUUGUUUUAAGCCACUAAAUUUUGGGGCUGUUGCUCAGCAACAGGUAACAAAACACAUCCAUCAAGCAUAUUAUAAAACAGGUGCAUUAACUGGAUUACCAAAGAUGAAGAGAAUGAAUGCUGCUUUGUUCUUUCCCAGAGCACACCAAAAGUUCACACAAUCAGCCACAAGCCUGAAAGCUGAAAACAAGGAAAUUUAUACCUCUCAAGAAGCUCUCAUGAGUUAAAAUACAGGAGGUGGAGUUAAACAGGGAAAUUUGGUUUCUUUCCCCAUCUGUCUUUUGACUUCCUCCCAACAGAGGUAAAUGAUGGGUGUUUACCUCUGAUAGUUGCACGUAAACAACUAUCUUGAGGCUUAGAAGACAUGGCUUCCCCCCUGCAGUUGACCAGAAUAUGGACAGGCAAACCCUCGAGAACCUAAGUGGAGGUCUUCCUGCUUGGGUCCUGCACAGUGGGUCUGACUGAGCAAGAGGAACCUGGACCAGUUGGCUGUGCCCGACCUUGCCCUCCCUCCCUGAUUCAUGGACUGCCCUUGGCUUGUUUCUUCAGUCAAUGACAGCUGAGUUUGAGAUGGUAUCUAUUCCAGCAUCUUCAUGUACAUUUCAGAUUCAUAUUCUUCAAGAAUAAAACAAGACUUCACGGUAUUAAAAAUGGAACACCAGUGGAUUGCAUUUCCAAAGCAGUUGAGAAUUGUCGGGACUGACAGCUCACUUCAGUUCAGAAUAAGACUGGAAAAGUAUUGCUUGCACAGCAAAAACGAUGUAGAUGCUUAAAUCAAUGUGUGGUUCCUGAUUGCGUGACAAAAGUAUAGAAUUAUAUUUGGGUAUUGUGAAAUAAAGUUUUGGAAAAAGGAUAGAAAUGAGAAGUAUGCUGUAUUUUCAUGAUUAAGAAUAUAAUUUUUAAGCUGAAAGUGGUAAUUUGGUUUCAUGCCCUCAGUUUUAUAGAUAAGGACACCGGGGCCUGAGAAAAAUAAAAUGCUUUGCCCCCAAAUCACAGGCACUCGGCAAUAGGGCUGGGACUAGAAUCCCAGCCUACCCUACUUCUAGCUCGAUGUUCUUUCCACUACAUUUACUUUUAAUAUUAAACAGAAAAAGGGUGUUUUUGUUAUAGCCCAGUGCCAAAUAAGCAAUUAACAAUUGGGCUUUUUAUGGCAACAUUGUGUCGAUAUUUUGCAGUCUGGUGUCAUAUCUACAGCUGUUGAUUUCAUCUAGUCAAUCUCAAACAUGGCCUAUAAUUAAGGAUUCACUUUCAAAGAGCUAGAGGGAGGUAAGGGAAAGGACUCCUUUAAUCAAAACUCAAGAUUAGAAAUGAACAUCCAGGUAAAUGCUUUUGAAUG
rnacentral:lncRNA from 1 species